GAUGAACGCUGGCGGCGUGCCUAAUACAUGCAAGUCGAGCGAACGGACGAGAAGCUUGCUUCUCUGAUGUUAGCGGCGGACGGGUGAGUAACACGUGGAUAACCUACCUAUAAGACUGGGAUAACUUCGGGAAACCGGAGCUAAUACCGGAUGAUAUUUUGAACCGCAUGGUUCAAAAGUGAAAGACGGUCUUGCUGUCACUUAUAGAUGGAUCCGCGCUGCAUUAGCUAGUUGGUAAGGUAACGGCUUACCAAGGCAACGAUGCAUAGCCGACCUGAGAGGGUGAUCGGCCACCCGGGAACUGAGACACGGUCCAGACUCCUACGGGAGGCAGCAGUAGGGAAUCUUCCGCAAUGGGCGAAAGCCUGACGGAGCAACGCCGCGUGAGUGAUGAAGGUCUUCGGAUCGUAAAACUCUGUUAUUAGGGAAGAACAUAUGUGUAAGUAACUGUGCACAUCUUGACGGUACCUAAUCAGAAAGCCACGGCUAACUACGUG
rnacentral:rRNA from 1 species